rnacentral:rRNA from 1 species
GAUGAACGCUAGCGGCAGGCUUAACACAUGCAAGUCGAGGGGUAGAGAUAGCUUGCUAUUUUGAGACCGGCGCACGGGUGCGGAAAGCGUAUGCAAUCUGCCUUCCACAAAGGGAUAGCCCGGAGAAAUCCGGACUAAUAACUUAUAGUAUUCUGAUGUGGCAUCACCUUAUUAUUAAAGAUUCAUCGGUGGAAGAGGAGCAUACGUCCCAUUAGCUAGUUGGUAAGGUAACGUCUUACCAAGGCGAAGAUGGGUAGGGGUCCUGAGAGGGAGAUCCCCCACACUCGUACUGACCCCCGGACCAGACUCCUACUGUCUCCCGCAUUUCUUAAUAUUGGACAAUGGGCGCAAGCCUGAUCCCGCCAUGCCGCGUGCAGGAUGACGGCCCUCUUUUUUUUCACCUUCUUUUCUACGGGAAUAAACCCUGCUACGUGUAGCAGACUGACGGUACCUUAAGAAUAAGGAUCGGCUAACUCCGUGCCAGCAGCCGCCGUAACAC